ACGGAAGGCAGCAGUGAGGAAUAUUCCGCAAUGGACGAAAGUCUGACGGAGCGACGCCGCGUGGAUGAUGAAGGUCGGAAGAUUGUAAAAUCCUUUUAUAACUGAGGAAUAAGCAGUGUGAGAGAAACGCAUUGCGGUGACUGUAGGUUAUGAAUAAGCAACGGCUAAUUACGUGCCAGCAGCCGCGGUAAUACGUAAGUUGCGAGCGUUGUUCGGAAUUAUUGGGCGUAAAGGGCAUGUAGGCGGAUAUGCAAGCUUGGUGUGAAAGGCGGGAGCUCAACUCCCGAACUGCGUUGAGAACUGCAUAACUAGAGUGACUGAGGGGCAGGCAGAAUUCCAGGUGUAGGGGUGAAAUCUGCAGAUAUCUGGAAGAAUACCAAUGGCGAAGGCAGCCUGCCAGCAGAUGACUGACGCUGAGGUGCGAAGGUGCGGGGAGCAAACAGGAUUAGAUACCCUGGUA
rnacentral:rRNA from 1 species